UACGGAGGAUGCAAGCGUUAUCCGGAAUGAUUGGGCGUAAAGCGUCCGCAGGUGGCAAUGUAAGUCUGCUGUUAAAGAGUCUAGCUCAACUAGAUACAAGCAGUGGAAACUACAUAGCUAGAGUACGGUCGGGGCAGAGGGAAUUCCUGGUGUAGCGGUGAAAUGCGUAGAGAUCAGGAAGAACACCGGUGGCGAAGGCGCUCUGCUAGGCCGUAACUGACACUGAGGGACGAAAGCUAGGGGAGCGAAUGGG
rnacentral:rRNA from 1 species